UGCGUAGGCGGCGCGGUAAGUCGGGUGUGAAAUCUCGGAGCUUAACUCCGAAACUGCAUUCGAUACUGCCGUGCUUGAGGACUGGAGAGGAGACUGGAAUUUACGGUGUAGCGGUGAAAUGCGUAGAUAUCGUAAGGAAGACCAGUGGCGAAGGCGGUCCCCUGGGCCGGAACUGACGCUGAGGCGCGAAAGCGUGGGUAGCAAACG
rnacentral:rRNA from 1 species